rnacentral:lncRNA from 1 species
GUGCUUCCUGCAUUCUGGUAGAUGGCCUUGAAUCAUGUGCCAAGUACAUUAAUAUUGAGCUCAAGGAAGUACUUAUUAUAUUAGCUGGCAUAUUCUGUUAUUUAAUAAAGAUUUUUAAUAAAGAAGAGUACCACUGGAAAUGAAAAAUUAUUGGUGUACAGUUGGAUUUAAUGGCAGUAUUAUAAUUUCAUUUAACGUCACUUGAUAGAGGAAAUAAGAGCUCUUCUUUAUCAUGAGUAGAUUUGGGCUCCUGUUCAAAGGAUCAUGCAUUAUUUAGAACCAUGUUUGUAUGUGAUAAGCUUUUAAUCCGGUUGUUCAGAAAGUAUACCUUUGCUAUGAAUUUCUCUCCACGAUCUUCAUACUUCCAAAAUGAAAAUGAAUAAAUGAGGCUUCACAAAGAAUGCAGAAUGAUAAGAAGAGUAGGAGGUUAUCCUGAUUAUGACCUUGAAGACUGGAGUUGGGGUGGGAAGGCCCUGUUCCUGCUUAAGGUAGUCUCAGGACCAUCCUCAUAAACAGGGGAUUCAGUUAAAAGUUUGUGUUUGUUAAGGCUUGUAGUCACAUCAAAAAACACCUGUGAGCUGCAUUAUGAAAAAAAAAAAAUGAGGAUACAGGACUGCCUCGUGAACCCCAAAACAGAAUGCUACAAGGCCUCCAAAUGGAUUUGAACUGGAACCUCAGAGACUAUAGAAAACCCAGUUGGAUUCUUAAGUGAUAAUCCACUGGCAGGCUCUGUCCUAGAACUCAGGAUGGCUAAAUAAGCAGGCCCUAGAAUCAUAGGAACCAUAGGAUCCCUGUAGUAGUACGUUUCUCAUGACCAUUCAUGGUCACCAAAAUGACCAUGCCACCUAUAUUCUGGCUUGGGUAUCUGAUCAGGGAGCAGGAAGCUGGUAGGCCUGACUUGACCAUUAUCCCCAGGGUGACAUGUAAUGAGGGUGAGGCAGUCCCUGAAGGAGAAGACAAUUUUGUUAACACAUGUGUCUGCCAGGCAGAAAAAAAAAAAAACAAGCAUCUACUCUGGGAAUCUAGAAAUGUCUCCAGUGCUCACCUCUGAAUCAUCUUGCUCCCUCUUCUCUCUUCAGCUCUUCCCCCAUAACUUACUUAGUUGCCCAACCCAUGCCAGAAUACCAAGCCACUCCACUGGGAAAUGCAUCGACUGGGUGACAUUUGCUCACUGGUUAUCAAGUUUGGCUACAUACUAGAAUCUUUUGGGAACUGACACCUAGGUUCUAUAUCCCCAGAGUCUGAUUUGAUUGGUCUCAAGUACAGCCUUAAACACCUACCCAGUGUUGUGGUUUGGGUCUGCAAUAUCCCUCUAAAAUCUCAUGUGUUGAAAACAUGGUUGCCAAUGUGACAGAGUUCAGAGGUGAGGCUCUAGGAGAUGAUUGGAUUAUGGGGAGUGUAACCUUCUCACUGGAUUAAUCCAUUUAAUGGACUCACAAUUCAAAAGGACUACUGGGUAUUAACUAAAGGCAGGUGGGUAUGAUCCAAGGAAGAAUCUCCCUCUCUCUCUUUCUCCCUCCCUCUCUUCUCCGUCUGCCCCCCAAUUAUAUCCCCCCUCCUUCUCCAUCAUAAGCUGAGCAAGUUGAGCAGCUUUCCUCCACCACACCCUUCCGCCAUGAUGUUCUGCCUCACCUCAGGCCCAGAACAAUGGAGUCAGCCAACCAUGGACUGAGACCUCUGAAACCAUGAACCAAAAUAAACUUUUCCUCCUCUGAAUUGUUCAUGUCUAGUAUUUUGGUCACAGGAAUAAAAAGCUGACUAACAUACCCAGCAAUGGUAAUAUGUAGUCAAGAUAGAGAACUCUUGAUCUGAUAUGGUAAGAGGGUGGUAGGCCCAUGGGGAAAAGGCCAUAUUAUCAGCUUUCAUUUUCAAGACCUUGAUUUCUACUUCUAAUCAAAUGCUUGCUAUUCAUGUCUGGAACUGACUAUUGCAAAUGGAUACUUUAAAAAUAGAUUUGAUUCUGUCAGGCCCAGGGGUGCACGGCUAUAAUCCCAGUGGUUUAGGAGGCUGAGGCAGGAGGACCAUGAGUUCAAAGCCAGCCUCAGCAACAGUGAGGCACUAAGCAACUCGGUGAGACCCUGUCUCCAAACAAAAUACAAAAUGGGAAAGGUAGCAGAAUACAACAGUCACUAAUAUGCCAUUAUGUAAAAAUGUGAGUGUGUAACCGAUGUGAUUCUGCAAUUUGUAUUUGGGGUAAAAAUGGGAGUUCAUAACCCAAUUGAGUCAAAUGUAUGAAAGAUGAUAUAUCAUGAGCUUUGUAAUGUUUUGAACAACCAAUAAAAAAAAAAAUACAAAA